rnacentral:tRNA from 1 species
GCCGGAGUGGCGGAAUGGCAGACGCUACGGUCUUAAAAACCGUUGGGGCAACCUCGUACGGGUUCGAAUCCCGUCUCCGGCACCA